UGUAAAUGAAAAUGUUUACAUUUAAAAUGUUUGCAGAUAAAAUUAAUCUUAUCAAAUAUAUUUAUGUUUGUAUUUAGAUGAAGUAUUUUAUUAUGAAACUUGUACUUUGAAGAAUAUUAAAUGCAGAACAAAAUAAAUUACCAGAAUAAGUAUUUCUUGGCAAGGAAAAUUUUUUAAAUUGUGAGAUGUUUAUAACAGAUUCUAGUCCUGCAGUGGACUGAACGCUAUGACACGGUUUACAGUAAGACACCGAAAUCAAACAUCAGACUGCGGUCAGUGACCACUUCGAUCAGUCUAAGAAGGGACCAAGGAUGUGCGGUAUUGGCUCUCAUUUAACUGUUCUACCGUAAAGUGUUUGACUUUAAGCAAGGGUGCCAUUCCUUCUGCAGAGGAUAAAAAUUGUGAUGCCAUGUCUUUGAAUCAUCCUCAGGGAUGUUUCCCAUAUCGUCGCCAAUAGCCCAUUGUGCAGCUGUAGCGCAACGUAAAUAAACUACAACAACAACCGAUUCUAAAUUUAAGAAAGUAUAAAUUCAGGGAAAAAAUCUACCUUAGGAUUGUAUAAAGAACUUUUAAUUUUAUAAAGAAACGAAUUUUCUGUAGUUAAAAACAGCAGAAUAAGUAAAUACAAAAAUUUAGUUACUGAUCACAGUGAAGCUUUAAAUGUUUUUUUUGUUCAUUGAACAGAACAUUUAAUUUUUUAGCAGGACAACUUGUAAUCAUUUACAUCCUUUUAUCAUUAAAAGAUACAAAAAUAAGACUUUCUGUAAAAAAAGUCCCAAAUGUCAUUCAUUGUUUUAUUGAAGCAUUCAUGUUAAAUUUCUCAUCCUGUUUCAGGAGUCCACCAGGAGAAUAAAAAUUUUGCAAAUACCUAAUUUGAUAUUUUAAUUUGUGAUGUUUGAAUAUAAACUUUAUCAAAACUUAUUGGAUGUGAACUACAAAAUUUAACUACAUUGCUACAACAAAGGCCCAAGGAAAUGCAUCCCUGUUUUAUAUUUUACUACUAAGGCCAACUAUCGAAUAUGGACUUCAAAAUUUAGUGACAGAGGUACAACAAAUGCCAGCAUACACUUGCCUGUUUCUUUCAAUAUUUAUUUGAAAAAUUGUCAGAAUAAAGGUUUUACUUUUUUAA